CAGGCAGAGAAACAUCAUUUCCUCCUCCUCUUGAGGGCAGGAGUCCAGGCGCAGCCCCAGCAGCAGACUCUCCAAGAUAUGCAGAGCUUUGGGCCAGGAUCCUACAGCCACGGGUCAUGCAGAGCCAGUUGGCCACAUCCUUUGGGCCAAAUUUGGUCCUAACCAGGUCUUACCACGGUAACUGCUAACCAGUCCAUCUUCAGUUAAUAUUUCAUGCGUAAGAUGUUUCAUGAAGUAACUGAAUGGGCUAAUGGGUUGUUCACUGGAUAAGACUCCCAGAUACUCCCUUUCAUGCCAUUCCCCAGAAUUCCUUCACCUCCCAGUGCUGUCUGUAAGGGUGAAGAUACUCCAUUUUGCCCCAUGCUCUUUGCUGUGCCCCAGAUAGGCUCAAACAUUUUUCCCUUUUGGGGAUUUUGCAGGUAGGAAUUGUUGAACAUCUUACCAUUUAAUCCAGAAGUUAUGUCCUUUAAGGAAUCGACCCUGAGCCUGUGAGUUUUACUUUGGGUUGGGGGUGAAGGAGUGGACCUUGCAGCAUUCAAGGUCAUCCAAGAUCAUCCAGUUAAGGCCCCUAAGGUCACUACGGGGGGAAAAGCCUGGUGAGGGAAGAGAAAGCAUUAGGGGGAGCUGCACCGUGCUGAGAAAUAACACCACACAGAAGUCUGUGUUCUAAUCUCAGCUCUGCUUUGCAUUACUGUGUGACCUGGAGCUGAUCACAGCCCUCUGAGUCUUAAAGGGGUUGGACAAGGCCAACUAAACAUUAGAAACACCUGAAAGUGCUGGUUAAAAGGAAGAAUGCAUGAGCUUCACUCCAGAUUUACUAUAUCAGAAUUUCCAGGGUCAGGGUCCAAGAAUCUGCAUGUUUAAUACGCUUUCCACAUGAUUUUUCCCCCCUCUGGACUUAAGAAAACAAUGGGCAAGUCAGCUCAUGAAGAACUUUUCAGAUAUUCAGACUAUUAUUCUGAGAGAGAAAAUAUUGGCAGAGAACAGAUGGGAUUUUUCUCAAGGAAAAGAAAUGGAAAUCCUACAUCUUGCAAGAAAUAGAAAAAAAUAAAUAAACUGUUUGAAGAAGAAUCACAUCAGGCUGGCAGGAGAGAGCCUGCGGCUCGGUGUCUGACCCAGAAUGUUAAAGCCAGCCUGGCUUGGCUCCAGGAUAAAGGACACUCUGUCAGCCUCUCCACAUUGAUUCAUCUCCCCAGCCCCAAGAUCAGGAGAGCAUUCUGUUCCUUGAAGCAUUUUAUGACUGUAAGUCAGAAGUGCUGCAGUUUUAAUAAAAAGCUGUAUUGUCCUGAUCUUGUGCAAUAUACUGAACUAUCAUUUUCCAACUGUUGGCUUGCAUACUGGUUUGUGUGAGUAAGCCCGUCCAUCCACAUCACUAAAAGAUAGUAGUAGUAACAACAAUGAC
rnacentral:lncRNA from 10 species